CCUACGGGGGACUGCAGUGAGGAAUAUUGGUCAAUGGGCGGAAGCCUGAACCAGCCAAGUAGCGUGCAGGAUGACGGCCCUACGGGUUGUAAACUGCUUUUAUAAUGGAAUAACGCGCCUUACGCGUAGGGCUUUGCAUGUACCGUAUGAAUAAGGACCGGCUAAUUCCGUGCCCGCAGCCGCGGUAAUACGGAAGGUCCGGGCAGUAUCCGGAUUUAUUGGGUUUAAAGGGAGCGUAGGCCGCAUGUCAAGCGUGCUGUGAAAUGUCCGGGCUCAACCCGGGCCUUGCAGCGCGAACUGGCAUGCUUGAGUCCGCGGAAAGCAGGCGGAAUUCGUGGUGUAGCGGUGAAAUGCUUAGAUAUGACGAAGAACCCCGAUUGCGAAGGCAGCUUGCUGCAUCGGAACUGACGCUGAUGCUCGAAAGCGCGGGUAUCGAACAGGAUUAGAUACCCCGGUAGUC
rnacentral:rRNA from 1 species